rnacentral:rRNA from 1 species
ACGAACGCUGGCGGCGUGCCUAACACAUGCAAGUCGAACGGAAUGAGGGGGCUUGCUCCUUCAUUUAGUGGCGCACGGGUGAGUAACGCGUAGAUAAUCUGCCUGAUGAUCCGGGAUAACACUUCGAAAGGGGUGCUAAUACCGGAUAAGCCCACGACGGCCUUGGCCGACGCGGGAAAAGGGGGGGACCUUCGGGCCUUCUGUCAUCAGAUGAGUCUGCGUACCAUUAGCUAGUUGGUAGGGUAAUGGCCUACCAAGGCUACGAUGGUUAGCUGGUCUGAGAGGAUGAUCAGCCACACUGGAACUGAGACACGGUCCAGACUCCUACGGGAGGCAGCAGUGGGGAAUUUUGCGCAAUGGGCGAAAGCCUGACGCAGCAACGCCGCGUGAGUGAUGAAGGCUUUCGGGUCGUAAAGCUCUGUCGAGGGGAAAGAAGUGUACGAGGGCUAAUAUCCUUUGUACUUGACGGUACCCCUAAAGGAAGCACCGGCUAACUCCGUGCCAGCAGCCGCGGUAAUACGGGGGGUGCAAGCGUUGUUCGGAAUUAUUGGGCGUAAAGCGCGUGUAGGCGGUCUGAUUAGUCUGAUGUGAAAGCCCCGGGCUCAACCCGGGAAGUGCAUUGGAAACUGUCAGACUUGAAUACGGGAGAGGGUAGUGGAAUUCCUAGUGUAGGAGUGAAAUCCGUAGAUAUUAGGAGGAACACCGGUGGCGAAGGCGGCUACCUGGACCGAUAUUGACGCUGAGACGCGAAAGCGUGGGUAGCAAACAGGAUUAGAUACCCUGGUAGUCCACGCCGUAAACGAUGAGUACUAGGUGUUGCGGGUAUUGACCCCUGCAGUGCCGCAGCUAACGCAUUAAGUA